rnacentral:pre_miRNA from 1 species
AGGUGGAACAACCGCAGUGGCGGGGCCAGCUUUGGAGCCUGGGAGUCAGCUCCCACAGUAACUCCGGAGCUCUCCACCUGCAGGGCCUGGAGGCUCCGGGGCGGG